rnacentral:rRNA from 1 species
AGUGAACGCUGGCGGUAGGCCUAACACAUGCAAGUCGAACGGCAGCACAGUAAGAGCUUGCUCCUACGGGUGGCGAGUGGCGGACGGGUGAGGAAUACAUCGGAAUCUACUUUUUCGUGGGGGAUAACGUAGGGAAACUUACGCUAAUACCGCAUACGACCUACGGGUGAAAGCAGGGGAUCUUCGGACCUUGCGCGAUUGUAUGAGCCGAUGUCGGAUUAGCUAGUUGGCGGGGUAAAGGCCCACCAAGGCGACGAUCCGUAGCUGGUCUUAGAGGAUGAUCAGCCACACUGGAACUGAGACACGGUCCAGACUCCUACGGGAGGCAGCAGUGGGGAAUAUUGGACAAUGGGCGCAAGCCUGAUCCAGCCAUACCGCGUGGGUGAAGAAGGCCUUCGGGUUGUAAAGCCCUUUUGUUGGGAAAGAAAAGCAGCAGGUUAAUACCCCGCUGUUCUGACGGUACCCAAAGAAUAAGCACCGGCUAACUUCGUG